rnacentral:rRNA from 1 species
GACGUAGGAUGCAAGCGUUGUCCGGAUUUAUUGGGCGUAAAGAGUUCGUAGGCUGUUUGUUAAGUCUGAUGUUAAAGACUGGGGCUCAACCUCGGAAAUGCAUUGGAUACUGGCAGACUGGAGUGCAGUAGAGGCUAGUGGAAUUCCCAGUGUAGCGGUGAAAUGCGUAGAUAUUGGGAAGAACACCGGUGGCGUAGGCGACUAGCUGGGCUGUAACUGACGCUGAGGAACGAAAGCCAGGGGAGCAAACGGG